UUUUCCUACGGGAGGCAGCAGUGAGGAAUAUUGGUCAAUGGCCGAGAGGCUGAACCAGCCAAGUCGCGUGAGGGAUGACGGCCCUACGGGUUGUAAACCUCUUUUGCCGGGGAGCAAAGAGCGGGACGCGUCCCGCCUCGAGAGUACCCGGAGAAAAAGCAUCGGCUAACUCCGUGCCAGCAGCCGCGGUAAUACGGAGGAUGCGAGCGUUAUCCGGAUUUAUUGGGUUUAAAGGGUGCGUAGGCGGACUGUCAAGUCAGCGGUACAAUACGGGGGCUCAACCUCCGCCCGCCGUUGAAACUGAC
rnacentral:rRNA from 1 species